rnacentral:lncRNA from 1 species
AUUUUCAGGGUACUUUUAGUGGAAAGAACACUGCUGUCCCAAGUUCAAAACCAGCAGCAUCAAACACUACUUCAGUGGGUUCCACUUCCAAGAGUAGUGGAAUUCAGUGCUUCAAGUGUGGAGGCCGUGGACAUGUAUCAAGAAAGUGUCCAAAUAAUCGUGUGGUCAUUGUGAAUGAUAGUGGAGAAUUUGAAUCAGCUAGUGAAGAGGAAGCUGAGGA